AGGACGAACGCUGGCGGCGUGCUUAACACAUGCAAGUCGAGCGGUAAGGCCUUUCGGGGUACACGAGCGGCGAACGGGUGAGUAACACGUGGGUGAUCUGCCCUGCACUUCGGGAUAAGCCUGGGAAACUGGGUCUAAUACCGGCUAUGACCUCAGGUUGCAUGACUUGGGGGUGGAAAG
rnacentral:rRNA from 1 species